rnacentral:rRNA from 1 species
GACGAACGCUGGCGGCGUGCUUAACACAUGCAAGUCGAACGGAAAGGCCCUGCUUUUGUGGGGUGCUCGAGUGGCGAACGGGUGAGUAACACGUGAGUAACCUGCCCUUGACUUUGGGAUAACUUCAGGAAACUGGGGCUAAUACCGGCUAGGAGCUCCUGCUGCAUGGUGGGGGUUGGACAGUUUCGGCGGUUGGGGAUGGACUCGCGGCUUAUCAGCUUGUUGGUGGGGUAGUGGCUUACCAGGGCUUUGACGGGUAGCCGGCCUGAGAGGGUGACCGGCCACAUUGGGACUGAGAUACGGCCCAGACUCCUACGGGAGGCAGCAGUGGGGAAUAUUGCACAAUGGGGGGAAGCCUGAUGCAGCAGCGCCGCGUGCGGGAUGACGGCCUUCGUGUUGUAAACCGCUUUCGCCUGUGACGAAGCGUGAGUGACGGUAAUGGGUAAAGAAGCACCGGCUAACUACGUG